UUUAAAGUGUAAUGUAAGUCGCUUUGGAUAAAAGCUUCUGCUAAAUGACCUGUA
rfam:Gasterosteus aculeatus cont1.011361, whole genome shotgun sequence.